CAGCCUUUGGGAAAUGGGUUCGAGACACAAGUGUGUGUGUGUCUUCGCCCGUUCUUUUAUUCUGUAACCCAGCUGUCCUUCUCCGAUUUCUCUUUUCUUCUCACUCAAGCCUCGACCUGGAGCUUCAGAUCUGCAGAGACACCUGCUCUAAACCACACAGGCAGCAAACGGGCCUCUGCUGCCACCAGCUCAGAGCCAGUGGACAAUGGGUUGGACACUUAGUGUCCUCGUCCGUCCUCCUUCCCUUGCGCUGAAAUGUCCUGUCAGGUUUCAGGUCUCUCCUCCUCACGUGGGCUCCUCUCCACACUCACGCUCCCAGGUUGUUUCUUUUUUUUGGUCCCUUUAUUCCCAGCGUUAAGUCGUCAGGCUCCGAAGUGCGAGUCACAGAGUCGACGCGCCUCCGGACUGUGGCUGCGAUGUGGCCGCGGGGAGGAGAGCGGGUCCUGCCGGACCCUUGGCCUGGUGCCCUGAGGCCCUUACUCUCGGAGGGUCCCUCUGCAGCUGCCAUAUUCCAGUAGAGCGUAAAGGCCAGGGGCUGAGCCCCGGGGCAUCGCGUAUGGGCGGCGGGGGGCACUAGGGCUUCCCACUCCCUCCUGCAGGGGUGCUCCUGAACCUGCGGGUGCCGCCCAACACUGUGACAUCACAGGGUCUCCUUCCUGGGCUACUAACGUCCAGAUGCCCAAAGGGGAGAGGCCUCCCCUCCCCCUGCCCCCUGCCACAGGCAGCAGGAUCUUUCGCUGGGUGACUUUUGAUCACCUACUCCUGGGAGCAGGGCACAAGAACCCAGAAGUCACCCAAAGCCCUAGCUGCUACAUCCCAGAGAUGAGACAGAGCAUGGCUCUGCAGUGUGAGCCCGUCUCUGGUCACUUGUACCGCCUGUCGUACCGACAGAGCCUGGAAAGCGGAGCGGAGUUACUGAUUUCCAUCUGUAACAAGCUUCCUUCAGAGAAGACAGGCUUUGUGAAGAACUGAUUCUCAGCUGAGACUCCUGACAGAUCGUACUUGCUCCAAAGACCCUGGCAGAGCAGCUGAGAGACCCAGCCAUGCACCCCUGCCCCAGCAGCUCAUCCAUGGCUUUGCAGGUGCUUCCUGCCCUUGCCCCGAACUCGAGGCUGCUCUGCCCCCAGGCUUUCCCGCAGCCCUUCCUGCCCACAGGAGCGGGGGGCCAGGCUGCAGCGUCUUCCCAGGAGCAGAGGUCAGAAGCUAACUUUAAUUUGCAGAAUAGGAAAUUUGCACGGGGAUAUCCGGGGCUGUGGUAUUAAGGAAAUAUUGUCAGGUGCCACGGAAUGUGGCUGUGGACCCCAACCAAGGGUGGGACAAGUAUGGCCAAGUGAGCGACCAGAAGAGGCUACAGAGGAACCUGUAAAGGACUGACUUUUCAGAAGCUAAGACCCGAGGGUUCUUGAACAAGCAGCAGGAGGGAUGAUGUAGGGGACACUUUAUGAGGGAGAUACUAUAUUUCUUGGGAAUAAGGCAGAUAGACUUAGGUUUUCAAUUAGAUAAAUCAGCAUUAGCGUUCAAGGCUAGUUGCAUUUAUCAUAUUGGUUAUACACCUAUUUAUUUAUUCAUUUACUAAUUCAUUCAUUUAUUCUUUUUUAAAGUUUUUUAUUUAUUUGGAGAGAGAGAGUGUGUGAGAUCAGGGAGGGGCAGAGAGAGAGAGAGAGAGAGAGAGAGAGAGAGAAUCCCAAACAGGUCCCACACUGUCAGUGCUGAGCUGGAUGCAGGGCUCGAACCCACGAAUUGUGAGAUCAUGACCUGAGCAGAAAUCAACAGCCAGACAUUUAACUGAGCCACCCAGGUGCCCCCAUUCAUUUAUUCUUUAAACAGACAAUAUCCUACCCCAAGAUACGGAAAGUAUAGUUAAUGUGCUGCAGGGACCCCAUGGGGAUUAGAGGAGGAAUGAGUCACAGGGCCAUAUAUGAAUCAGGGCUCAGCCUUCCCUAGGCAGUGAACUCUCCUUCACGCCAUGAAGCAGCCAAGUCCUCUAGAAAGGGUGCUGGGGCUGCGAAGACAGAAACGCCAUGGAGAGAACAUGCAAAAUGAAGAGGAGAACUGUAGGAGGGGGAGCCAGAGAAAUGGUCCUGGGAACAGUGGCCAUGGUCCCCCAGGGAAUUUUGCUGGGGGACUUCCCUGGCAGGAUGGCCCUGAGGACACUGUCCCUUAUUCCCUGAGGAACCACUAAGGGCUGAGCACAAGGGCACCAGGGAGGACACCCUGCACCAAUGGUUACAAAAGCAGAGCACAGGGCAGCAGAUGGUAUCUUGUGGCAAACACCCCAUCUCCCCCAGUCCUGACCCCCGGAAGCAGCAGACAAGGCCAGUUUUCCUGGCAUCUGGGAAGAAAUGCAAGUCCCUGAUGCAACUCAGCAGAUGGAAAUCUUCAGGAGUCAACCCUGGUUGGGUUCAGCCUCAGAUGGAAGGUGAUUCAGGAACAAUAAACAGUAAAUCUUGGGGCUCCCUAGUCAAUCUUGAUUGACUUGUAGGCAAUCAAGCCAGGCACACACCUGCACUUCAACAUUGGUAGGUUAAUGCCCAGAAGUGGUGCCUUUUGGAUAUGCACGAAUAUGUGUUCUUCCUUUUUUAAGGACAGUUUAGGGAGUUCUGUGAACAUCUGAUAACAUGUAGAUUUCACAAGUAAUUUUAGAAAGAAUUCUGUUUGGAAGAAUGAUACAAAAAUAUAUUAAUGGUUGUUGACACUGGAUCGCGGGAUGCAUCUUUUAUUACAUGAAGUGAAAUGCAUAAUAUAAAUGUUAGCUAUAUACAUUUUGUCAAAUGGAAAAACUAGCAACACCACCCCAAGAUGCAGACUCGUCAUCACCUCUUGGUCUCAGUCCUCUUGCAGUCGAUACCCAUCUGACAGGUAAUCAAUCACUGCUCCAUGCCUAUCAUCAUAGAUCAGAUGUACUUGUUCUUGAACUCGUAUAAAUGGAAUCGUACGCUCUUUUGCGACCAGCAUCUUUCACCUAACACGUGCUUUUGUUAUUCAUCCUUAUCGUUAGGUGUAUUAGUAAUUCAUUCUUUUUUUAUCCUAUGUAUUUUUUUAUUGUGUGACCCUGCCACAAUCUGUAUAUCUACUUACAUGUUGAUGGACCCAUGGGUUGUUUCUAGAUUUGGGUUAUUGCAUUCUGGUACGAGACUUUGGUGUGGACAUAUACUUUUAUUUUCUGUUGGCUAAAUACCCAGGAGUGAGAUUGCUGGAUUAUAUGGUAAGUACUCAUUUCACUUUAUCAAAAGGGGCCACACCGUUUUCCCACAUGGCGAUACCAUUUAGCCUUCUCGUCGGAAAUGUGAGUUCCAUUUGCUUCCCUUGUUCGCACUGGGCAAAAAAGUAGAACGUGGGGAAGAAGCCAAUACAGUCAUUCAAAGGAGUUGGAGUCAGUACUACAUUCUGCUGGGAAAUACCACACAGGAAACAGGGAGGGCUCCGGCGACAAUGAGAAUAUGGGAUCCAGGGAAUUUACUGGAAACCUUCCUGGCACAGCUGACAAUAUAAACACUUUCAGUUUAUUGAAAGAAGGCACUGUGGUUCCAAUGGGACACAGAAGAUGCAGGAAGGCAGAAAGAGCAGAGGAUGACUGGGAAAGGGGGUUAGAAAGGCUUUGUAAUUUGUCAGGCGGAUUAAUUACUUAAGCCACUACAAGAAUACGAGUGCUGAAAAAUAAAAUUCAACCCAAGUGAA